rnacentral:rRNA from 1 species
UUUAAAUUGAGAGUUUGAUCCUGGCUCAGGACGAACGCUGGCGGCGUGCCUAACACAUGCAAGUCGAGCGAUGAAACCUUUCGGGGUGGAUUAGCGGCGGACGGGUGAGUAACACGUGGGUAACCUGC